rnacentral:rRNA from 1 species
AACGAACGUUAGCGGCGCGCUUAACACAUGCAAGUCGUGCGAGAAAGGGAGCAAUCCCCGGUAAAGCGGCGCACGGGUGAGUAACACGUAGGUAACGUGCCCCCAGGUGGUGGAUAACCUUCCGAAAGGAGGGCUAAUACAGCAUAAGACCACGGCUCCGAAAGGAGCUGAGGUCAAAGUCGGCCUCUAUUCAUAAGCUGACGCCAGGGGAUCGGCCUGCGGCCCAUCAGGUAGUUGGUAGGGUAACGGCCUACCAAGCCAAAGACGGGUAGCUGGUCUGAGAGGAUGAUCAGCCACACUGGAACUGAGACACGGUCCAGACUCCUACGGGAGGCAGCAGUGGGGAAUCUUGCGCAAUGGGCGAAAGCCUGACGCAGCGACGCCGCGUGGGGUGAUGAAGGCCUUCGGGUU